rnacentral:lncRNA from 1 species
AUCAAUCUUGACACCCAAUUUCAUCAUAAUUCAAUACUGGGACAGUUUUCUUUUAAAAGAGAUAUCGCUCUUUAGCUAUGCAUUUACUUCAUUUCAUCCAAUACCUUUAUUUUGUUAACCAUAGUUUCAAUUUCUCUAAUUCCCUUUACUCUUUAUCCUCUUAAGGUUUCAUUUUUCUUGACUCCAUAUUCAAUUUUUUCAAGCCUAACCUCUUAGCCACCAUAGUUGUUCUUAUCAGUUAGCGAUUCUAAGGAACCUUUAUGGAUCAUGGUGUUCUAAGCUCACUCGACCUUUUUUCUUAUCAUGACUCUUGAACUACAUUUGUCCUGAUUCUCAUGCAACCCCAGAUAUGUAGGCAAAUCAGAGAACGGAGUUUGGCCGCAAUCUCUCUAUCAUUCUGCAUACAUAUCCUCCUAGAUCCUGCCAUCUAUGUCAAAAUUAGGUUACUAGUCAACAUCUUUGAUCAGAUACUCUUUCAUCAUUUCCAACCAAAGAGGGACAACUAUUGGCACCCAAUUUUGUCUCGUCUUUCUUUCAAGUCAUCUCUUUGCGCUUCUAAAUAAUUUUCAUAGCUUAAAAAAAUAUAUGUAUGAUAUUCCUAUAAUUAGGAGUUUAUGCAAGUCGUGCCACCAUUUGUAUUUUUAAACUAAAAGUUAUCAAUGACAUUGUUAUUAUUAUAAUGAUAAUUAUUGUUGUUGUUAUUAUUUAUUAUCAUUACAAUUUAACUAUAUUGUGAAUUAUCAUCGCAUUUCCUCAAACUUUCGCUAAAGACAUUAUAUUUAUUUAUCUAUUUUUAAUUGAAUGAAGUAUUUCGGUGACUCUCUUGUUUACAAAUAUUAUCGUUCAAUAUCAAAUUUAUCAUGCUAAUUUGUUCAAAUAAUUAUAUUUAAAUGUCAAAUAAUUUUUGUCAUUUGUUCGGAUAUUUAUAAUGUGUUUUGCUAAAAGUGUUAUUUAAAUUAAUUUAGAAAGCCCAGAUAACAUAAGAAAGAAGGUCAAAUUAAUUUAACCCAUUUUACAAAAUUCUUGCAAUUUGGCCAAAUUUCAAGAUCCUACCCAUAAAGGCCAUCUUUUCUCUACCCUUCUACCUCAGCGCCACAGGGACGCCACGUUUGCGCCACAUAAGGUGCCAAGCGGGCAUAACACACACCAAACACACUUUUGUUGCACUCUCACACACCCUAGCACGUGUCUGUCCUUUGCCACGAGUCUUUGCCCUAUUUGUUGGUCAAAUUAAUUUAAUUUCCAACUAGAGAAAACUUCCAAUUUUGUCCUCACUUAUUUCACCUAAAAUACCAAUAGUUCCCUCCAAAAAACCUAAAAACUAGCCUAAGUUUUUCUACUCUCAAUGAACCACCUUUUGAACAUGCCUCAACAUUUUCUUCUCCUCUUCAAGUAAAACUACUGACCCCUUUCACCAUGGGUAGGAUUUGCUGCUCUAUUUUUGUGAUGAAUCCUUUCUGUCAGGUGAAGAUCGGGUGGAGACAAAUUCCAACAUUUGAAUGUUUAUCAUUCAACAAUUUGAGGAACCCAAUUCCCACUCAAAGGGUGAAUUCCAACGAAUCUACUAUAAAUACUCAUAUUUGGAAGCUUAAAAAAAGAUGAGAAAGGAAGAAGAAAAAGGGAGGAUGGAAGACCUAGCAUUGUUUGUAGUUUUUCUCGUCCAUUCAUUCUUUCGGUCGUGAACAGGCCUUUUCAGCUUCUCUCACUUGCUGAAAUAUCACCCAAAGGUUAUUGGAGAAGAUUUAGCUAUAAGUCUACUUUGAAAACUUAUUUUGGGAAAUAGACAUUUCUUUUGCCUUGACCUAACUUUUUAGUGUUUUGUGGGACAUGGGUUUAAGUGUAAAAUAAGAAAACCUUUUGGCAUCCCUUAUGUAUUUUUUAAAUUUUGUGGAAUCCCUUAUGUAUUUAUUAAAUAUAUUUUUAACCCUACUGUUCCAUUAAAUACAAAAAAAAUAAAUUCUCUCUCAUCUUCUCUCUUUACAACGACACACUUCAUCUCCC